AUUGGGCGUUAAGUUGCAGGGUAUAGACCCGAAACCCGGUGAUCUAGCCAUGGGCAGGUUGAAGGUUGGGUAACACUAACUGGAGGACCGAACCGACUAAUGUUGAAAAAUUAGCGGAUGACCUGUGGCUGGGGGUGAAAGGCCAAUCAAACCGGGAGAUAGCUGGUUCUCCCCGAAAGCUAUUUAGGUAGCGCCUCGUGAAUUCAUCUCCGGGGGUAGAGCACUGUUUCGGCUAGGGGGCCAUCCCGGCUUACCAACCCGAUGCAAACUGCGAAUACCGGAGAAUGUUAUCACGGGAGACACACGGCGGGUGCUAACGUCCGUCGUGAAGAGGGAAACAACCCAGACCGCCAGCUAAGGUCCCAAAGUCAUGGUUAAGUGGGAAACGAUGUGGGAAGGCCCAGACAGCCAGGAUGUUGGCUUAGAAGCAGCCAUCAUUUAAAGAAAGCGUAAUAGCUCACUGGUCGAGUCGGCCUGCGCGGAAGAUGUAACGGGGCUAAACCAUGCACCGAAGCUGCGGCAGCGACGCUUAUGCGUUGUUGGGUAGGGGAGCGUUC
rnacentral:rRNA from 1 species